UCUCAGGUUUCCAUCGCAACAUCCACGUGAGGAGGAAAAAAAACAAAACAAUGGUCCAUCAAAUGCUGGGGCGCUUCUUUACAACAGUUUUCAGUAAAGAUUUCAUUCGGACCAAGUGGCCUAACUUCUUCUUCUGCGUUUCAAUCGAACCCCCGACGCGUCUGCUCUCCUCUCAGGGUGAAAUGAGCAGCGACCCCUAACGUCCGACGGUGGAACUGCGCAGUGGCACCCAGCACAUGGAACACAUGACCCAGGCUGGCAGCACAGUGGAGACGGCGCUGAAGACCAACUGGGACCAGUCAGCCAAACCAUUUCAACUGCUGGAGCUGUCUGUAUGGAUCAGCAGCCAACCUCGUAUUCCUCUGCCAUCGCCUUUGCUGAAGAAAUGUCUAAACAGGGAGUGGGGGUGCAGGGUUCCCUCAAGUACUGCACUACACAACUUCCUCAGCUAAUGGGAUCUAUUGAUUUAUUUGACACAAUGUGAAUUUAUGAAGCUGCCUCUUUAGUGUGAGAGUAUCAAAGCGUGGCUCAAAACAAACAGACAGAGAUUCUGCUUGACACUCCGGUAAUCCCAGGGUGAGUGUGUUCUCUCAGCAAAGGUGCCACAGCGGAAAAAACACACAAACAAAAAACUCUCACUGUUAAGUUCUUCUUGUGCUUUCUCAGCCCUGCAGUUACCCGCAGUAUGAAAAAGAAAGAAAAGCAGGAAGAAAUGACUAAUUUCUUCCUGCUUCUUCCUAAAUUACAAAACACACUUUCCUUAAUGUGACUAGCGCGUCUUUUUCAGCGAAAAAAAACAACAACACUAAAAGACCCUAAAUUUUCUUCGAUUUACACAGGAGCAA